UACGAAGGGGGCUAGCGUUGUUCGGAAUUACUGGGCGUAAAGCGCACGUAGGCGGUCUUUUAAGUCAGGGGUGAAAUCCCGGGGCUCAACCUCGGAACUGCCUUUGAUACUGGAAGUCUUGAGUAUGGAAGAGGUAAGUGGAAUUGCGAGUGUAGAGGUGAAAUUCGUAGAUAUUCGCAGGAACACCAGUGGCGAAGGCGGCUUACUGGUCCAUUACUGACGCUGAGGUGCGAAAGCGUGGGGAGCAAACAGG
rnacentral:rRNA from 1 species